rnacentral:rRNA from 1 species
UUAAGCGACUAAGCGUACACGGUGGAUGCCCUGGCAGUCAGAGGCGAUGAAGGACGUGCUAAUCUGCGAUAAGCGUCGGUAAGGUGAUAUGAACCGUUAUAACCGGCGAUUUCCGAAUGGGGAAACCCAGUGUGUUUCGACACACUAUCAUUAACUGAAUCCAUAGGUUAAUGAGGCGAACCGGGGGAACUGAAACAUCUAAGUACCCCGAGGAAAAGAAAUCAACCGAGAUUCCCCCAGUAGCGGCGAGCGAACGGGGAGCAGCCCAGAGCCUGAAUCAGUGUGUGUGUUAGUGGAAGCGUCUGGAAAGGCGCGCGAUACAGGGUGACAGCCCCGUACACAAAAAUGCACAUGCUGUGAGCUCGAUGAGUAGGGCGGGACACGUGGUAUCCUGUCUGAAUAUGGGGGGACCAUCCUCCAAGGCUAAAUACUCCUGACUGACCGAUAGUGAACCAGUACCGUGAGGGAAAGGCGAAAAGAACCCCGGCGAGGGGAGUGAAAAAGAACCUGAAACCGUGUACGUACAAGCAGUGGGAGCACGCUUCGGCGUGUGACUGCGUACCUUUUGUAUAAUGGGUCAGCGACUUAUAUUCUGUAGCAAGGUUAACCGAAUAGGGGAGCCGAAGGGAAACCGAGUCUUAACUGGGCGUUAAGUUGCAGGGUAUAGACCCGAAACCCGGUGAUCUAGCCAUGGGCAGGUUGAAGGUUGGGUAACACUAACUGGAGGACCGAACCGACUAAUGUUGAAAAAUUAGCGGAUGACUUGUGGCUGGGGGUGAAAGGCCAAUCAAACCGGGAGAUAGCUGGUUCUCCCCGAAAGCUAUUUAGGUAGCGCCUCGUGAAUUCAUCUCCGGGGGUAGAGCACUGUUUCGGCAAGGGGGUCAUCCCGACUUACCAACCCGAUGCAAACUGCGAAUACCGGAGAAUGUUAUCACGGGAGACACACGGCGGGUGCUAACGUCCGUCGUGAAGAGGGAAACAACCCAGACCGCCAGCUAAGGUCCCAAAGUCAUGGUUAAGUGGGAAACGAUGUGGGAAGGCCCAGACAGCCAGGAUGUUGGCUUAGAAGCAGCCAUCAUUUAAAGAAAGCGUAAUAGCUCACUGGUCGAGUCGGCCUGCGCGGAAGAUGUAACGGGGCUAAACCAUGCACCGAAGCUGCGGCAGCGACGCUGAUGCGUUGUUGGGUAGGGGAGCGUUCUGUAAGCCUGCGAAGGUGUGCUGUGAGGCAUGCUGGAGGUAUCAGAAGUGCGAAUGCUGACAUAAGUAACGAUAAAGCGGGUGAAAAGCCCGCUCGCCGGAAGACCAAGGGUUCCUGUCCAACGUUAAUCGGGGCAGGGUGAGUCGACCCCUAAGGCGAGGCCGAAAGGCGUAGUCGAUGGGAAACAGGUUAAUAUUCCUGUACUUGGUGUUACUGCGAAGGGGGGACGGAGAAGGCUAUGUUGGCCGGGCGACGGUUGUCCCGGUUUAAGCGUGUAGGCUGGUUUUCCAGGCAAAUCCGGAAAAUCAAGGCUGAGGCGUGAUGACGAGGCACUACGGUGCUGAAGCAACAAAUGCCCUGCUUCCAGGAAAAGCCUCUAAGCAUCAGGUAACAUCAAAUCGUACCCCAAACCGACACAGGUGGUCAGGUAGAGAAUACCAAGGCGCUUGAGAGAACUCGGGUGAAGGAACUAGGCAAAAUGGUGCCGUAACUUCGGGAGAAGGCACGCUGAUAUGUAGGUGAAGUCCCUCGCGGAUGGAGCUGAAAUCAGUCGAAGAUACCAGCUGGCUGCAACUGUUUAUUAAAAACACAGCACUGUGCAAACACGAAAGUGGACGUAUACGGUGUGACGCCUGCCCGGUGCCGGAAGGUUAAUUGAUGGGGUUAGCCGCAAGGCGAAGCUCUUGAUCGAAGCCCCGGUAAACGGCGGCCGUAACUAUAACGGUCCUAAGGUAGCGAAAUUCCUUGUCGGGUAAGUUCCGACCUGCACGAAUGGCGUAAUGAUGGCCAGGCUGUCUCCACCCGAGACUCAGUGAAAUUGAACUCGCUGUGAAGAUGCAGUGUACCCGCGGCAAGACGGAAAGACCCCGUGAACCUUUACUAUAGCUUGACACUGAACAUUGAGCCUUGAUGUGUAGGAUAGGUGGGAGGCUUUGAAGUGUGGACGCCAGUCUGCAUGGAGCCGACCUUGAAAUACCACCCUUUAAUGUUUGAUGUUCUAACGUUGACCCGUAAUCCGGGUUGCGGACAGUGUCUGGUGGGUAGUUUGACUGGGGCGGUCUCCUCCUAAAGAGUAACGGAGGAGCACGAAGGUUGGCUAAUCCUGGUCGGACAUCAGGAGGUUAGUGCAAUGGCAUAAGCCAGCUUGACUGCGAGCGUGACGGCGCGAGCAGGUGCGAAAGCAGGUCAUAGUGAUCCGGUGGUUCUGAAUGGAAGGGCCAUCGCUCAACGGAUAAAAGGUACUCCGGGGAUAACAGGCUGAUACCGCCCAAGAGUUCAUAUCGACGGCGGUGUUUGGCACCUCGAUGUCGGCUCAUCACAUCCUGGGGCUGAAGUAGGUCCCAAGGGUAUGGCUGUUCGCCAUUUAAAGUGGUACGCGAGCUGGGUUUAGAACGUCGUGAGACAGUUCGGUCCCUAUCUGCCGUGGGCGCUGGAGAACUGAGGGGGGCUGCUCCUAGUACGAGAGGACCGGAGUGGACGCAUCACUGGUGUUCGGGUUGUCAUGCCAAUGGCACUGCCCGGUAGCUAAAUGCGGAAGAGAUAAGUGCUGAAAGCAUCUAAGCACGAAACUUGCCCCGAGAUGAGUUCUCCCUGACUCCUUGAGAGUCCUGAAGGAACGUUGAAGACGACGACGUUGAUAGGCCGGGUGUGUAAGCGCAGCGAUGCGUUGAGCUAACCGGUACUAAUGAACCGUGAGGCUUAACCUU